GGGUUGUGAGGUUAAGCGACUAAGCGUACACGGUGGAUGCCCUGGCAGUCAGAGGCGAUGAAGGACGUGCUAAUCUGCGAAAAGCGUCGGUAAGGUGAUAUGAACCGUUACAGCCGGCGAUGUCCGAAUGGGGAAACCCAGUGCAAUUCGUUGCACUAUCGUUAACUGAAUACAUAGGUUAACGAGGCGAACCGGGGGAACUGAAACAUCUAAGUACCCCGAGGAAAAGAAAUCAACCGAGAUUCCCCCAGUAGCGGCGAGCGAACGGGGAGCAGCCCAGAGUCUGAAUCAGCUUGUGUGUUAGUGGAACGGUCUGGAAAGUCCGACGGUACAGGGUGAUAGUCCCGUACACCAAAAUGCACAGGUUGUGAACUCGAAGAGUAGGGCGGGACACGUGGUAUCCUGUCUGAAUAUGGGGGGACCAUCCUCCAAGGCUAAAUACUCCUGACUGACCGAUAGUGAACCAGUACCGUGAGGGAAAGGCGAAAAGAACCCCGGCGAGGGGAGUGAAAAAGAACCUGAAACCGUGUACGUACAAGCAGUGGGAGCACCUUCGGGUGUGACUGCGUACCUUUUGUAUAAUGGGUCAGCGACUUAUAUUCUGUAGCAAGGUUAACCGUAUAGGGGAGCCGCAGGGAAACCGAGUCUUAACUGGGCGUUAAGUUGCAGGGUAUAGACCCGAAACCCGGUGAUCUAGCCAUGGGCAGGUUGAAGGUUGGGUAACACUAACUGGAGGACCGAACCGACUAAUGUUGAAAAAUUAGCGGAUGACUUGUGGCUGGGGGUGAAAGGCCAAUCAAACCGGGAGAUAGCUGGUUCUCCCCGAAAGCUAUUUAGGUAGCGCCUCGUGAAUUCAUCUUCGGGGGUAGAGCACUGUUUCGGCUAGGGGGUCAUCCCGACUUACCAACCCGAUGCAAACUACGAAUACCGAAGAAUGUUAUCACGGGAGACACACGGCGGGUGCUAACGUCCGUCGUGAAGAGGGAAACAACCCAGACCGCCAGCUAAGGUCCCAAAGUCACAGUUAAGUGGGAAACGAUGUGGGAAGGCACAGACAGCCAGGAUGUUGGCUUAGAAGCAGCCAUCAUUUAAAGAAAGCGUAAUAGCUCACUGGUCGAGUCGGCCUGCGCGGAAGAUGUAACGGGGCUAAACUGUGCACCGAAGCUGCGGCAGCGACACUAUGUGUUGUUGGGUAGGGGAGCGUUCUGUAAGCCUGCGAAGGUGGCCUGUGAGGGUUGCUGGAGGUAUCAGAAGUGCGAAUGCUGACAUAAGUAACGAUAAUGCGGGUGAAAAGCCCGCACGCCGGAAGACCAAGGGUUCCUGUCCAACGUUAAUCGGGGCAGGGUGAGUCGACCCCUAAGGCGAGGCCGAAAGGCGUAGUCGAUGGGAAACAGGUUAAUAUUCCUGUACUUGGUGUUACUGCGAAGGGGGGACGGAGAAGGCUAUGUUAGCCGGGCGACGGUUGUCCCGGUUUAAGCAUGUAGGCGGAGGUUCCAGGUAAAUCCGGUACCUUUUAACGCUGAGGUGUGAUGACGAGGCACUACGGUGCUGAAGUAACAAAUGCCCUGCUUCCAGGAAAAGCCUCUAAGCAUCAGGUAACAUUGAAUCGUACCCCAAACCGACACAGGUGGUCAGGUAGAGAAUACCAAGGCGCUUGAGAGAACUCGGGUGAAGGAACUAGGCAAAAUGGUGCCGUAACUUCGGGAGAAGGCACGCUGAUAUGUAGGUGAAGCCCCUGCGGGUGGAGCUGAAAUCAGUCGAAGAUACCAGCUGGCUGCAACUGUUUAUUAAAAACACAGCACUGUGCAAACACGAAAGUGGACGUAUACGGUGUGACGCCUGCCCGGUGCCGGAAGGUUAAUUGAUGGGGUUAUCCGUAAGGAGAAGCUCUUGAUCGAAGCCCCGGUAAACGGCGGCCGUAACUAUAACGGUCCUAAGGUAGCGAAAUUCCUUGUCGGGUAAGUUCCGACCUGCACGAAUGGCGUAAUGAUGGCCAGGCUGUCUCCACCCGAGACUCAGUGAAAUUGAACUCGCUGUGAAGAUGCAGUGUACCCGCGGCAAGACGGAAAGACCCCGUGAACCUUUACUAUAGCUUGACACUGAACAUUGAGCCUUGAUGUGUAGGAUAGGUGGGAGGCUUUGAAGCGUGGACGCCAGUCUGCGUGGAGCCAACCUUGAAAUACCACCCUUUAAUGUUUGAUGUUCUAACGUUGGCCCCUUAUCGGGGUUGCGGACAGUGUCUGGUGGGUAGUUUGACUGGGGCGGUCUCCUCCCAAAGAGUAACGGAGGAGCACGAAGGUUAGCUAAUCCUGGUCGGACAUCAGGAGGUUAGUGCAAUGGCAUAAGCUAGCUUGACUGCGAGCGUGACGGCGCGAGCAGGUGCGAAAGCAGGUCAUAGUGAUCCGGUGGUUCUGAAUGGAAGGGCCAUCGCUCAACGGAUAAAAGGUACUCCGGGGAUAACAGGCUGAUACCGCCCAAGAGUUCAUAUCGACGGCGGUGUUUGGCACCUCGAUGUCGGCUCAUCACAUCCUGGGGCUGAAGUAGGUCCCAAGGGUAUGGCUGUUCGCCAUUUAAAGUGGUACGCGAGCUGGGUUUAGAACGUCGUGAGACAGUUCGGUCCCUAUCUGCCGUGGGCGCUGGAGAAUUGAGGGGGGCUGCUCCUAGUACGAGAGGACCGGAGUGGACGCAUCACUGGUGUUCGGGUUGUCAUGCCAAUGGCAUUGCCCGGUAGCUAAAUGCGGAAGAGAUAAGUGCUGAAAGCAUCUAAGCACGAAACUUGCCCCGAGAUGAGUUCUCCCUGAGACUUUAAGUCUCCUGAAGGAACGUUAAAGACGAUGACGUUGAUAGGUCGGGUGUGUAAGCGUAGCGAUACGUUGAGCUAACCGAUACUAAUGAACCGUGAGGCUUAACCUUACAACGCCGAAG
rnacentral:rRNA from 1 species